AACGAACGCUGGCGGCGUGGCUAAGACAUGCAAGUCGAACGGACUGGUCAAUUUAUUGAGCAGUUAGUGGCGAAAGGGUGAGUAAUGGAUAGGUAACGUACCUUGUGCUCUGGAAUAGCGUCGUUCGUCUUCGGGCGAACUACCGAAAGGGAUGGUAAUACCGGAUAAUAACAUUUGUCGAUGGGCGAAUGUUCAAAGAUUUAUCGGCGCAGGAGCGGCCUAUCUCCUAUCAGCUUGUUGGUGAGGUAAUGGCUCACCAAGGCAGCGACGGGUAGCGGGACUGAGAGGUUGACCCGCCACAUCGGGACUGAGACACUGCCCGGACCUCCACGGAGGGCUGCAGUAACGAAUAUUGCGCAAUGGGCGAAAGCCUGACGCAGCGACGCCGCGUGUAGGAAGAAGUCUUUCGGGAUGUAAACUACUGUCAGGGGUAAGAAAGUCCGCUCCGGCGGAUUGAUCUAACCCAGAGGAAGUCACGGCUAACUUCGUGCCAGCAGCCGCGGUAAGACGAAGGUGGCGAGCGUUGUUCGGUGUCACUGGGCUUAAAGAGUGCGUAGGCGGAAAAGUAGGCGUCCUGUGAAAGCCCUCGGCUUAACCGAGGAAUCGCUCGGCGAACUGCUUUUCUUGAGGCAAGUAGGGGUGCAUGGAACUCUUGGUGGAGCGGUGGAAUGCGUAGAUAUCAAGAGGAACGCCAGUGGUGAAAACGGUGCACUGGGCUUGUCCUGACGCUGAGACACGAAAGCGUGGGGAGCGAACGGGAUUAGAUACCCCGGUAGCCCACGCUGUAAACAAUGCCUACUAGGUUGUGGUGGUUCUGACACCAGCACGGCCGAAGCAAAAGUGUUAAGUAGACCGCCUGGGGAGUACGGUCGCAAGGCUAAAACUCAAAGGAAUUGACGG
rnacentral:rRNA from 1 species